rnacentral:rRNA from 1 species
AGUGAACGCUGGCGGUAGGCCUAACACAUGCAAGUCGAGCGGCCGCACAGUAAGAGCUUGCUCUUACGGGUGGCGAGUGGCGGACGGGUGAGGAAUACAUCGGAAUCUACUUUUUCGUGGGGGAUAACGUAGGGAAACUUACGCUAAUACCGCAUACGACCUACGGGUGAAAGCAGGAGAGCUUCGCACCUUGCGCGAUUGAUUGAGCCGAUGUCGGAUUAGCUAGUUGGCUGGGUAAAGGCACACCAAGGCGACGAUCCGUAGCUGGUCUGAGAGGAUGAUCAGCCACACUGGAACUGAGACACGGUCCAGACUCCUACGGGAGGCAGCAGUGGGGAAUAUUGGACAAUGGGCGCAAGCCUGAUCCAGCCAUACCGCGUGGGUGAAGAAGGCCUUCGGGUUGUAAAGCCCUUUUGUUGGGAAAGAAAAGCAGCAGGUUAAUACCCCGCUGUUCUGACGGUACCCAAAGAAUAAGCACCGGCUAACUUCGUG